rnacentral:rRNA from 1 species
AGAUUGAACGCUGGCGGCAGGCCUAACACAUGCAAGUCGAGCGGUAGAGAGGUGCUUGCACCUCUUGAGAGCGGCGGACGGGUGAGUAAUGCCUAGGAAUCUGCCUAGUGGUGGGGGAUAACGUUCGGAAACGGACGCUAAUACCGCAUACGUCCUACGGGAGAAAGCGGGGGACCUUCGGGCCUCGCGCCAUUAGAUGAGCCUAGGUCGGAUUAGCUAGUUGGUGAGGUAAUGGCUCACCAAGGCGACGAUCCGUAACUGGUCUGAGAGGAUGAUCAGUCACACUGGAACUGAGACACGGUCCAGACUCCUACGGGAGGCAGCAGUGGGGAAUAUUGGACAA